rnacentral:rRNA from 1 species
UACGUAGGGUGCAAGCGUUAAUCGGAAUUACUGGGCGUAAAGCGUGCGCAGGCGGCUAUGCAAGACAGAUGUGAAAUCCCCGGGCUCAACCUGGGAACUGCAUUUGUGACUGCAUGGCUAGAGUACGGUAGAGGGGGAUGGAAUUCCGCGUGUAGCAGUGAAAUGCGUAGAUAUGCGGAGGAACACCGAUGGCGAAGGCAAUCCCCUGGACCUGUACUAACGCUCAUGCACGAAAGCGUGGGGAGCAAACAGG